GCGGGGCGGACAGCGCGACUCGGUCCGGGCGGCGGGCGGGCGUCCCGAAAUCGCGUCUCCCGAAGCUCGCCCGCCUCACGCGCCGCCACCGGAUGGCCUGGGCGCUUCGACGGCGUGAGGCUGCGUGGGGCCGGCCGCCGCCGCCAGGGGGCAACCGCCGCCCGCGCUUCUGGUCUGAGUUCCCCGGUCGGUCUCGGUCGGGGACGCACGGACCUAGCGCUCUCCCGCUAAAGGGGUGUCGUUAAGCGGAGUCCUGAGCCCACCGGGCAGGCUCUGCGACCAGCAGGGCAAAGGCUCGCCUGCAGUUCUCUGCACCCCCCCCCCCCCACCGGGCCCCGGCCUUGGUCUCCAGACCCCUCCCGUACAGAGAACUGCCGAGAACUGCUGCGCUGACCUCCAGGUUCCCAAUCUGACAGCUGCAGGUCACCCUGCCUUCUCUGCAGCUCAUUUGCCCGGACCCAUCUGCAUUACACUUGGGUUCUUCAAAGCCGUUUUUUCCAGCUCCUUCUUAAUCCUCUCCCUUUCCACCCAGUAUCUGCUCCCACUCCCUCCACAGCCCGAAAUCUGCUGCAGAUGAGCAGUUUCCGGAGGAGAUGCGAAUUUGGGUGGUUCUUUCUAGGCUGUGAAGUUCUUGGGGGAGGAGGGCAGGGAAUUCCCUUAGAGCAAAAUACUAGCAGCACUUUUAAGGGCAAAGAGCUCUUUUUAUUCCAUGGCCUUCGGGGAGCCUGGAGCCCGCUAGAGGCCCGGCUGGUGUGUGACGCUCAUUCACCAAGCUGGUCACUGACGAGACUGAGGAAGUCCUAGACGGAGCAAGAAUGGGCAGAGGCUGAAGGUAGAGGUUUUCUUUUUAUAUAUACAAGACACAUUAAUCCAUUAAAUUUGAGGACACAGUACAAAAAAAAAAAAAAAAAACAAAAAACACUUCAACUAAUUCAUCUGACAAUGCUGUUCAUAUUCAUGACGCCAUUUUUUUGUUGUUGUCUUGUUUCCUAAUAAUAAAGGAGGAGACUUAGG